rnacentral:rRNA from 1 species
UACGUAGGGUGCGAGCGUUAAUCGGAAUUACUGGGCGUAAAGCGUGCGCAGGCGGUUUUUGUAAGUCAGAUGUGAAAAUCCCCCGGGCUUAACCUGGGAACUGCGUUUGAAACUACAAGGCUAGAGUGUGGCAGAGGGGGGGUGGAAUUCCACGUGUAGCAGUGAAAUGCGUAGAGAUGUGGAGGAACACCGAUGGCGAAGGCAGCCCCCUGGGUUAACACUGACGCUCAGGCACGAAAGCGUGGGGAGCAAACAGG